rnacentral:rRNA from 1 species
AUGGAGGGGAAAGCUAUUCUUCUUUGCCUCACGGUGCUAGUCCUGCUAGGAGAUUCAAUUCAUGCUCGGUGCUAUGAAAAGCCUGCUUACUGGAUACCUUUGUAUUGCCUAGACGAAAAUUUCUGCCAGAACAAAUGCGUGAAGAAGUUCGGAAAGCUCGUGAAAGGUUCUUAUUGUAAAAUGACUGGAUUUUUCAUAGUCUCCUGUUUAUGUACGCUCUGCGAUUAG